rnacentral:misc_RNA from 1 species
AACAAGUCCAAACUCUAGUUUUUCUCCCAUGGAUCUGCGACUCUUUGAAGCUCUCUUUCUUGAGCAAAGGCCCAACAAGCGAAAACCCAUUUUGAACAAACUAACAAGUUCAAAAAAGAGCUCACAGCUGCCUCCAACCGAAGGCAAUUGGGCUUGUCACUUGGUGCUGUGCAUUUCUCCAUGCUAUUGAACCAAAUUCAUAGCUAGCAGCCUGGUUUACACCUUUCUUUGCCACGAAAGUCACUGUGUAUCUAACUUUGUCUCCUACAUUUCUGAACACAAGUUUGGUGGGAUUCACUUUCACCACCACCGCAGGUGGCGCAGUCACAGCCACUUCAUAUACAGACCCU